rnacentral:rRNA from 1 species
GUGUCAGCCGCCGCGGUAAUACGGAGGGUGCAAGCGUUAUCCGGAUUCACUGGGUUUAAAGGGUGCGUAGGUGGACUGGUAAGUCCGUGGUGAAAUCCCCAAGCUUAACUUGGGAACUGCCGUGGAUACUAUCAGUCUUGAAUACUGUGGAGGUAAGCGGAAUAUGUCAUGUAGCGGUGAAAUGCUUAGAUAUGACAUAGAACACCGAUAGCGAAGGCAGCUUGCUACACAGUCAUUGACACUGAGGCACGAAAGCGUGGGGAGCAAACAGGAUUAGAUACCCCCGUAGUCC